rnacentral:misc_RNA from 1 species
GCUUACCGUUGUUUCAAUUUUCUCUUGUGAUUGUGAAGACGCACCCCUCCCGUGCUCUCCAUCCCCCCCAUUAUAUUGUGGAUGCUUGCUUCGCCGACAACCAUGGUGUUUAUUGUUUAUCUAAAAUAAAAAGGAUAAAAUAAAAUACCAGAACUUGCAAAAGACAGCAGAUCGUAUAACAACGGAUCUUUGAAGGUGCAACCAUUUUUUGUUCAUCGUACGUUAAGGGUGGCUUAUGAAAUCUAUUGUUCGAGUAUCAAUUGCCGGUCAAUUAUUAUAGCUAUAAAUAAUUUUUUUGCGGGUUUCGAUGGUGAUCCAGACAAUGUAAUUCAAUCGACGCUCUUGCAUGUAUAAGUGACGUUUAGAAAAACAUACCUACACGGGCCAAGAGCGGCAAUAAAUUAAUAGCUAGAAGUAUACAAGGGAGAUAUAAUAUAUGUAGC